rnacentral:rRNA from 1 species
CCUACGGGAGGCAGCAGUGGGGAAUAUUGCACAAUGGGGGAAACCCUGAUGCAGCCAUGCCGCGUGUGUGAAGAAGGCCUUCGGGUUGUAAAGCACUUUCAGUAGGGAGGAAGGUAGUGUAGUUAACACCUGCACUAUUUGACGUUACCUACAGAAGAAGCACCGGCUAACUCCGUGCCAGCAGCCGCGGUAAUACGGAGGGUGCGAGCGUUAAUCGGAAUUACUGGGCGUAAAGCGCAUGCAGGCGGCCUGUUAAGUCAGAUGUGAAAGCCCGGGGCUUAACCUCGGAAUUGCAUUUGAAACUGGCAGGCUAGAGUCUUGUAGAGGGGGUAGAAUUUCAGGUGUAGCGGUGAAAUGCGUAGAGAUCUGAAGGAAUACCAGUGGCGAAGGCGGCCCCCUGGACAAAGACUGACGCUCAGAUGCGAAAGCGUGGGGAGCAAACAGGAUUAGAUACCCUGGUAG